GAUGAACGCUGGCGGCGUGCUUAACACAUGCAAGUCGAACGGAAAGGCUCCUGCUUGCAGGGGUACUCGAGUGGCGAACGGGUGAGUAACACGUGGGUGAUCUGCCCUGCACUUCGGGAUAAGCCUGGGAAACUGGGUCUAAUACCGGAUAGGACGAUGGUUUGGAUGCCAUUGUGGAAAGUUUUUCGGUGUGGGAUGAGCUCGCGGCCUAUCAGCUUGUUGGUGGGGUAAUGGCCUACCAAGGCGUCGACGGGUAGCCGGCCUGAGAGGGUGUACGGCCACAUUGGGACUGAGAUACGGCCCAGACUCCUACGGGAGGCAGCAGUGGGGAAUAUGGCACAAUGGGCGCAAGCCUGAUGCAGCGACGCCGCGUGGGGGAGGACGGCCUUCGGGUUGUAAACUCCUUUCGCUAGGGACGAAGCGCAAGUGACGGUACCUGGAGAAGAAGCACCGGCUAACUACGU
rnacentral:rRNA from 1 species